UUUGGCAUUGAUCCAAAGUUGAGCGAUGUGUGAGUAAGAUGAAAGAGCCUUGCCUAGGUAUUCAGAAGCAAGAGCAAUGCAAAAACGGUCAUGCGAUCAACAAAGCAGUACAGUUAUUAAAGCCCUCCCAGGGUGAAUAAACAAAAACUCACCAAUGACAGCUAGAAAAAAACCGAACAAAAAAAAACUUUCCCUGGAGUGACCACUUUGUACUGCUUCCUUUUUUUUUAACUUAAGAAGCAAAAUUUAGUUUAUAAAAAUUAAAGCAUAAAAUCAAAUCAUAUCCCAAACAUUAAACAAAACUAACUCAAGUAACACAUUGAAUCUCACUUUUGGCUUGUGUUUGACAAGAAAUGGCCAUGGCAGUUUUUUGGCAUCUUUCCAACUGGACUUCCUUACAGAGCUGCCAGGACACUGUUAAUUAGGAAAAUAGUUGCAAAAUAAAGAGGCUUUGGAGAGAACAAACUACAAAUGUGAUUCAAAUAUAUUGAAUCUUUCCAAGAUGUGCCUUGUGGCCUUUCUCAGCGUAUUACUUGUUCAGAACAUCACUCAUGAGCCAGGAACCAUGAACAUGCAGGAACUGUGUACACGAUGUGUAGAGCCAUUAGAACAGAACACUGAGAACCAGAGGUUUGAGUCAUGAGCAGAAACCUUUAUAUCCCAAAUCUGGACUAAAGACAAAGGUAACUUAAAAUUGGCUGUCCCCAGCAAAAUCAAUUCCCACAUGGUGAUGCAGCUAAGAAUCAUCAGUAGCCAUUACUCCUAGAAGCUCAUGGAAUUUGAAAGGUGGGUAUGGGUGGCAUACUAUACCAUCCACUAUAGAGGAGUCACCUAAAGCAUUGAAUUCUGAUGGAAAACUUUACAAAUUGUAUAUGGUCAGGAGAUUGAUGAAUGACAGAUGAACCAGUGAGAGGUUCUAAACUCAGGACAGUCACUGAGUUGGUAAGGGGCAUCAAGACUGUGAAGUAAAAGAAUUGCAAACAAAUGAAUACCUGGGAAAAAUGGUACCAUGUUGAAAAUAGAAGGUGUACUGACUGGAACAAGAGAGAAUGUUGACAAACUUCGCAAGCAAGUAUGGACCUGAAAUACUCAUUUCACUAGAGUGAAACAUGAAGCCACUAGUAACUUAUUAUAUUAAUAGUGUAAAUUCUUGACCCACUUCUGUGGGUCCAUUUCUGUACAAUAUUUUUACUUUUUUUUCUAAUACUUUAAGAAACCAGCCCUCUGGC
rnacentral:lncRNA from 1 species